AUUGAACGCUGGCGGCAGGCCUAACACAUGCAAGUCGAACGGUAACAGGAAGAAGCUUGCUUCUUUGCUGACGAGUGGCGGACGGGUGAGUAAUGUCUGGGAAACUGCCUGAUGGAGGGGGAUAACUACUGGAAACGGUAGCUAAUACCGCAUAACGUCGCAAGGCCAAAGAGGGGGACCUUCGGGCCUCUUGCCAUCGGAUGUGCCCAGAUGGGAUUAGCUAGUAGGUGGGGUAACGGCUCACCUAGGCGACGAUCCCUAGCUGGUCUGAGAGGAUGACCAGCCACACUGGAACUGAGACACGGUCCAGACUCCUACGGGAGGCAGCAGUGGGGAAUAUUGCACAAUGGGCGCAAGCCUGAUGCAGCCAUGCCGCGUGUAUGAAGAAGGCCUUCGGGUUGUAAAGUACUUUCAGCGGGGAGGAAGGGAGUAAAGUUAAUACCUUUACUCAUUGACGUUACCCGCAGAAGAAGCACCGGCUAACUCCGUG
rnacentral:rRNA from 1 species